GGCCCCUUUCCAAAAUGGCUACUGGCCAAUCACCCUCUCCUGGGGACUUCUGAACCUGAACAACUCACCAGCUACUGCAGUCCACUCCACAGUGUUCACUGCUCAGUUCCACUACACUGGAUUCCAAAUCAGAAGGUGUUUCUCGGCUGUUCACCAUUCUACCAUCAUCCCAAAAAUCUCGCUGUCAGAACUGAAGGCAUGAGAUUAUAAGAAACAGAAGAUUGGGAGAUACAAGCAUGACUUCCAAGAAAGACUGCCAGCAGUGUACAUCAGAUGAUCUCUGAAAUCCUGUGAUCUUUUAAAAUACAUUCAAUGAGUCUAAGUGUGAAUGAGUUUGUAUUAAAAAAGCCAUGACCAUUCAUUCAUUCAUUCAUUCAAAAAUAUUACAUAAUUAUUAUAAGCUAAGUUCUGUGUAUAGUAAGUCCCCAACUUAUGAACAUUUGAGUUGUGUACUUUCACAGAUAUAAAUGGAGUCAAAUGUCAGUAGUAAUAAAGUUCUAAGACUCUGUGAUAGAUUGGUCAUGCCUACUCCGGAAAAAGCAAAGUGGCCUUGUACAAAUGGAACAUAGACUUUCACUAUAGUAUUUUAAAAGGCAACAAUGAACAGAUUCCUGGAACUUAGCGGGAUCUUAAUAUCAGAGUUCAACUUUAUAUACUUGCUUAAAAACACGUUUCUUGCCUUGCUGAUGGAAAGAAAAGAGCUGUUUAAAAUAAGGAGCAGGAUUUAGGUCUAAAAGUGGUCCUCUUGUGGUAUUGAGUGUUAUUCCAGUGAUAUUUUAAGGAAAUGUUCUUUAUCAUGCUGGUACUGAAAAGUACAAGAACAAAUUGGUCUUUAAGGUGAGAGAUGGAAAAGUCAAUCCUUUUCUUUCACCCACAGUGAAGAAUCAUUCUGUUUCCCAGCUCUUGGCUGAUCUUCUCAGUAAUGUGGUACUAAAAGUCUAGUUAUCUGUCAAUCACUUUUAAAUUCAUUUUGCAAAGCUGAUGAUGGAGCUAUCACAAUCUUCUACUAAUUCCUUUAAUAGAAGUGGUUUUGAGAGGCUGCCAACACUGAAGAAGAUCUGGAAAUGUUACUCCUCAGCCAAAUUGUCCUUUUCUUGAUCUGCCUGAAACUACCACUUGAAAUUUUUAUAGCUGGAUUCAUCGUUGGUCUGAUUGCAACCACUGACUUUCUACAAUAGCCUUCUGAUGAUGGGUUUUUCUUCUGGCUUAUUUUGCCAGUUACAUUUUGGAUUUUCCAAAACAUUUUUAGUAAAGGUCUAUACCAGUGAUGACAAAUCUAUGGCAUGUAUGUUAUUAUGUUUUUCUUUUAAGACAUAAAUGUCAGUGUAGAGUUAUUUUUUUUUUCUUAAAUUAAAACCUCACUAUUCAGUUUUAAUUGCAGUGUUGGCAUUGGUCUCUAAAAGUUUUGCCAUUAUUGGUCUAUACCAAAUAGCUUAAUAUCACCAAGCUUCAUUUGAAACAACUAUCAUGGCGUGUUGAAAGCAAAUUAAAUGACAAGAUAAACAAGGAAAAUGCAGAUUUUACUUGUAGGCUAUGUGGUAUGAUAAGAAGAUAUAUGUGAAUUUAAAUGCCAGUACUCUUUUUGACCAUCUGUGCAUCCAGGGAAAAGUUACCGCUCUGAACUUCAUGACCUUUAUCCGUAAAUUGAAUACAGACUUGCCUACUUGCAUAAUUACAAUAAGAUUAAGUGAUAUCAUAUG